CAGUGGAAUCACGGCGGAGUACAUGGUGUUUUAUGUAUAGUAAUAAUAAUAUAAACAAUCACUAGCCAAGCUAGCUUGCAAAUUUGUCCUGUGAUGUUAAUUUCUUAGCUUUACCAUUAUUAAUUUCUUUAGAACCAAAUUUGCAGGCUGGCUUUGUCUCAUAUGUAGAUAUAAUUUGUUCAAUUGCAAAGAUUACAUUUUGUCAGAGUAAUAAACUAUAGGAUACCUGGCUUGACUGUUUCUUUUUGUAGCAGCUAGUUGUUUGCUGUCAUAUUAUCAUUUAUUAAAUACUUAAUUGACUGUUUACUUGGCCUAUAUAAAAGCCAGGUCUGUCUAGUCAUUCUCUAACAAGAAAAAUUUCUGAUAUUUAAAAUUGCCAGGUAUUCUAUAAUUUAGCCACACCUAUGUGUGUAUUUCAGCCAUUCGUGAUCGGUGUGCUGCUAUCACUUCUUUUUUGCUUGGUCUUGGAGUAGGUGCAAUAUUCUUUGGAAGUUUAACAUGCUUGUCUGAUGGUUGAGGAUUCAUGUCCACAUUGAACUCUA